rfam:Triticum aestivum genome assembly, contig: Triticum_aestivum_CS42_TGACv1_scaffold_032611_1BL
AAUAUACUCCUCCGUAUCAAAAUUCUUAUCUUAGAUUUGUCUAGAUACGGAUGUAUCAAAGUCACAUCCGUAUCUAGACAAAAUCUAAGACAAAAACUUUGGGACGGAGGGUCACAUCCGUAUCUAGACAAAUCUAAGAUAAGAAUUUUGGGACGGAGGGAGUAUCCA